rnacentral:lncRNA from 1 species
GUGUCAAACUCCAAGGUGAGACUAGCUAGUAGGUGAGACAGACACGCCCUCUCCUGGAUGACAACACAGGGGAAAGAAAAAAGAAAAGUAACCGCUGCUCGGUUUCAAUAAUGUCUGCUUUAUGAACCCACACAAGUCAGAAGAAUCUGUGAGAAGUCUUUGAUCUCUAGGCUGUUUUUUCUUUUCUUUUUCUUUUUUCACUGAGGAGGGAGGGACCUUUAACUUUCCAGCUUUAGCUAGUGCGUGAAAACAGCCGACAGUACCAACACGGGGACGGACAGACAGAACUCUCCCUGAGGACAGAAACAUUUCAACAUCGAUUAACCAACGGAAAAACCAACCACUGAACACGGGCGGGCGUUGAAUAGCUUCAAUGGAUCGAUACGAUAACAUGGAUUUGGAGUUGGAGUGUGACGGAGAAGCUCAAAAAUCAUUGCUAUUCGGUGGGAUGUUCAAAAGAUCCUCCAAGUCUGCAGUACCACCUCUCCAUGUCAGGGAGACAGGAGGGGUGUUUAGUGGGAUGUUUAAAAAAUCGCCAAAGCCUUUUGGAGCGAGGACACAAUCUCAGCCUGUGAAGCAGACAAACUCAGAUGUCGAGGAUCCAGCUGUGAACGGUGAAAGGUCAUCGGAGGACAAACAGGUCAAAAGCAACAUGAUUCAGCAAGAGACAGAGGAAAGAAGUGAAACUCCAAUGGUCCCACCCAGACCAACUGAAGAGGAGAUGAAGAGGACGUCCACAUACAACAAAGUAAAAGCAAAAGGAACUGAGGAUAAUCAGGAUAACCAGGCUAUGAUCUCCAGAUCUGCUAGAGCAUCAGAGGAGGUAGUUUAAGCCUUGAGUGUUAGCCAGUAAUAAUGGCUG